rnacentral:rRNA from 1 species
AUUAACACAUGCAAGUCGAGCGGCAGCGGGUCCUUCGGGAUGCCGGCGAGCGGCGGACGGGUGAGUAAUGCCUAGGAAUCUGCCUGGUAGUGGGGGAUAACGUUCGGAAACGGACGCUAAUACCGCAUACGUCCUACGGGAGAAAGCAGGGGACCUUCGGGCCUUGCGCUAUCAGAUGAGCCUAGGUCGGAUUAGCUAGUUGGUGGGGUAAUGGCUCACCAAGGCGACGAUCCGUAACUGGUCUGAGAGGAUGAUCAGUCACACUGGAACUGAGACACGGUCCAGACUCCUACGGGAGGCAGCAGUGGGGAAUAUUGGACAAUGGGCGAAAGCCUGAUCCAGCCAUGCCGCGUGUGUGAAGAAGGUCUUCGGAUUGUAAAGCACUUUAAGUUGGGAGGAAGGGUAUUCACCUAAUACGUGAGUAUUUUGACGUUACCGACAGAAUAAGCACCGGCUAACUUCGUGCCAGCAGCCGCGGUAAUACGAAGGGUGCAAGCGUUAAUCGGAAUUACUGGGCGUAAAGCGCGCGUAGGUGGUUCGUUAAGUUGGAUGUGAAAGCCCCGGGCUCAACCUGGGAACUGCAUCCAAAACUGGCGAGCUAGAGUACGGUAGAGGGUGGUGGAAUUUCCUGUGUAGCGGUGAAAUGCGUAGAUAUAGGAAGGAACACCAGUGGCGAAGGCGACCACCUGGACUGAUACUGACACUGAGGUGCGAAAGCGUGGGGAGCAAACAGGAUUAGAUACCCUGGUAGUCCACGCCGUAAACGAUGUCAACUAGCCGUUGGAAUCCUUGAGAUUUUAGUG